rnacentral:lncRNA from 1 species
GUGCUGUGAAUUUCCAGACAUUGUAAGUGAUCUACUUCCUGUCAUUGCUGCUUCUAUGGACGAUGUCUACACCUUUAUUAAACAGACUGUACGUAAUGAGAACCAAUCAAUAUCGACUACCUCGUUUCGAAUUUCGACGUCAUCCAUUACUUCGAUUUUCCCGCGCACACUCGGUCUGGACGCGCGUGUCUGUCGACCAAAAUAUCCAACUGGCUGGAUACGGGUUUUGUGGCCGGACACGCCCCAUAAGACAACUUAGGGCGAUUUCGAAGGGACAACGGCCACCGAAAAGCUUAUCUGAAAGUCGUUCCCAGGCGCGGCGAAAUCCACUCGUUUGGUACCAGCCUUAGCCAUCCGACGUAUGGUGAAGGCAGAAAAUCGAAAAAUUUUAAUUGGCCGCCAUCUUAUUUUCGUCAAAAUAACUCGUACUAAAUUACUGUACGUUUAAACAGAAAUUACUUUUCAAAAUAUUUAUUUAUUACGCUUUGAAUCGUAUAUCGAUUCUCCUCCCCAUCCACCUGGCCAAUAAACUUAAUUUCUGUAACGAAUAAUCGAACGAUAUUACUGCCUUGUCGUACUCUAAGCGUGGAUAUAAGAAAUCAACCGAAUUCAAACAGAUCGCCGAUACUUCAACUUUUUUUUUACUUAGCUAAGAUAAUUUUCCUGUUAAAAUUACACAGCUAAAAUUAAAUACUUUUAUAUAAUGUGAUAUGUGAAUUUUUAUUCUGAGAAAUUAUUGGUGCGUUUUUAAAAUUUGCCAUCGAC